rnacentral:sRNA from 1 species
UCGGGUACGACUGGGUGCUGAGGGGCGCCC